GAUGAACGCUGGCGGCGUGCCUAACACAUGCAAGUCGAGCGGAGAUAAGAGGAGUACUUGUACAAAUUUUAUUUCAGCGGCGGACGGGUGAGUAACACGUGAGUAACCUGCCUUUCACUGGGGAAUAACAUCGAGAAAUCGGUGCUAAUACCGCAUAAUGUCACGAGACCGCAUGGCCUUGUGACCAAAGGAGUAAUCCGGUGAAAGAUGGACUCGCGUCCGAUUAGAUAGUUGGUGAGGUAAUGGCUCACCAAGUCUGCGAUCGGUAGCCGAACUGAGAGGUUGAUCGGCCACAUUGGGACUGAGACACGGCCCAGACUCCUACGGGUGGCAG
rnacentral:rRNA from 1 species